GAGUUUUCUAACUCCCAAACCCAUGUGAACUUACCACUGUUGCCUCGGCGGAGCCUACCCUGUAGCUACCCUGUAGGGUGGUUACCCUGUAGCGCCCCGCCGGCGGAUUUUCAAACUCUUGUUAUUUUUUAAGUCAUCUGAGAGUCUUAUUUUAAAUAAGUCAAAACUUUCAACAACGGAUCUCUUGGUUCUGGCAUCGAUGAAGAACGCAGCGAAAUGCGAUAAGUAAUGUGAAUUGCAGAAUUCAGUGAAUCAUCGAAUCUUUGAACGCACAUUGCGCCCAUUAGUAUUCUAGUGGGCAUGCCUGUUCGAGCGUCAUUUCAACCCUUAAGCCUAGCUUAGUGUUGGGAAUCUAUGUGUGGCCCAAGCUACCCUGUAGCGUGGUUACCCUGUAGUUCCUGAAAAACAACGGCGGAUUUAUAGUGUCCUCUGAGCGUAGUAAUUUUUUAUCUCGCUUCUGUUUAGGCGCUGCAGACCCGGCCGCUAAACCCCCAAUUUUUCGUGGUUGACCUCGGAUCAGGUAGGAAUACCCGCUGAACUUAAGCAUAUCAAUAAGCGGAGGAAAAGAAACCAACAGGGAUUCCCCUAGUAACGGCGAGUGAAGCGGGAACAGCUCAAAUUUGAAAUCUGGCCUUCGGGUCCGAAUUGUAAUUUGCAGAGGAUGCUUUUGGUUAGGUACUUUCCGAGUUCCCUGGAACGGGACGCCUUAGAGGGUGAGAGCCCCGUACGGUUGGAUACCGAGCCUCUGUAAAGCUCCUUCGACGAGUCGAGUAGUUUGGGAAUGCUGCUCUAAAUGGGAGGUAAAUUUCUUCUAAAGCU
rnacentral:rRNA from 1 species